ACUAUUUUGGCAGAUUAGUGCAUUAAAUUUAGAAUUUAUAUAUAUAAUAAAUUAUUAUAAAUAGUA
rnacentral:tRNA from 1 species